CCCGGCGCUUUGCAUAGCGGCGCAUAAGGAGGGAAUAGGGCCUCUGUCAAACGGGCCUUAAGGCACACUCCAAUUUGAAGUUCAGUGAUGCUGCAUUCUACCAAAAGUCACAGAGGUACAUGGAAGCCCUACGGGGAUCCUGAGACACAGCAAAUACACAGAGAAGACCCCCAGGCUGACUCCUCAGUCUCAUUCCUUCCCCACUUGGAGGCCAAGAUCCGUCAGACACACAGCCUUGCCCGCCUCCUCACCAAAUAUGCUGAGCAGCUGCUCCAGGAAUAUGUGAGUGAAAAUGGGGGUCGGGGUGCCAAGGGCUUGGGGAUGGGGGAGCACAUGUCACAGCGGUCCUCCAUCACCCGUUCCCUUAAUCCAUCCCCAGCUGUGGAAAUUGAGGCUUUGGAGAGGGACAGUAGCUGGCUGCUGGCCACACAACAAGUUGGAGGAGGACCCUAUAUGAUAACCUGUCUGCCUCAGCUUGGACACUCCCUCCUUGGUGCUUAAAAUCAGAAACAGCCUGAGAGAGCAGGAACCUGAGAUUAGGUUCCAGGUGACCGUGUCACACGUGGAAGUGAACUGUUCUAACUGGAAUAUACAGAGAGGCCAAGAAAGGCAAAAAUUCUGCACCACAAGGGAACUUUUAGAGAACACAGGCGUCUGCCAAUAUUUUUGCCUAAAGAAAGAAGAUAAUCUUCUAAGCACCUUAGUGUGGUGGAAGAAGGCUGUAGUUUUGUAUCAGACAGACUGUAAACCUGCCUGAUUUAUGACAGUGGACAGUAUUUCCCCAGUGAUGAGUGUGAAAUACUGUGUUUAAAGUAACAAACGUAAUGCCUGAGCCAGAGGCAAGAUGUUUACAAAGGAAAAUGUUAUUAUAGCAUUUGACAAAUUGCAGAUCACUUUUAUCUUUCACUGUUUAUUCAAAUGACAAUUAGUGACUCAUCGAGUCCCUGCUCAAUACCUGUACAAAGGUGGGGGAGGAUGGGAAGAGGUGUGUCUUCCACGAUAGCCAAGGGGUCCUGGUAGAAAGAAAAAAGAGGGAGCAAGCAGUUUCCUCAAUAUAUAGCUAAGAAGACUGAGGCACCUAGGAGCUUUUGCCCGAGCGGCGCAACUAGUAAGUGGCCAAGGCAAGACAACAUUAAUAAAAGCAGCUAACGUUUAUGAGCCCUUGUGGGGCCGGGCCCCGUCCUAAGCACUCCACGCGCACACCCGCCCUGUGGAGCCCGCGCCGUCAAGGCUCAUUCCCGGGGAAGAGGAGAAGGUGCGGUAAGAAGACUGAGGCACCUAGGAGCUUUUGCCCGAGCGGCGCAACUAGUAAGUGGCCAAGGCAAGACAACAUUAAUAAAAGCAGCUAACGUUUAUGAGCCCUUGUGGGGCCGGGCCCCGUCCUAAGCACUCCACGCGCACACCCGCCCUGUGGAGCCCGCGCCGUCAAGGCUCAUUCCCGGGGAAGAGGAG
rnacentral:lncRNA from 1 species